AGCUUUGCGCAGUAGCAGUAUCGUAGCCAAUGAGGUUUAUCCGAGGCACGAUUAUUGCUAAUUGUAAAUAUGUGUUAUUUUUUUAACCAAUUACAUGUAGAUUUCUAUACAUAUCUAGUACAUCUAGCUUGAUA